rnacentral:snoRNA from 1 species
AAGACUAUACUUUCAGGGAUCAUUUCUAUAGUUUGUUAAAUAACUGUAAGUGUUUGCAUAUGGUAGAAAUUAGUUGGAAAUGUC